GAUGAUGUUAUUCUUGGCAAGGGUGAAACGAGUCGGUAUGAAUCCAACAUGCACCAGGGAAACAUUAGGUUCAGAAAGAUUCUGGAGCAAU
rnacentral:ribozyme from 1 species